rnacentral:rRNA from 1 species
UACGAAGGGGGCUAGCGUUGCUCGGAAUGACUGGGCGUAAAGGGCGCGUAGGCGGAUGGUACAGUCAGAUGUGAAAUUCCCGGGCUCAACCUGGGGGCUGCAUUUGAUACUGGUCGGCUUGAAUCCGGGAGAGGGAUGCAGAAUUCCAGGUGUAGCGGUGAAAUGCGUAGAUAUCUGGAGGAAUACCGGUGGCGAAGGCGGCAUCCUGGACCGGCAUUGACGCUGAACAGCGAAAGCUAGGGGAGCAAACGGG